AGUGAGAGGCGGAGGUGGGGCUGGGAGCUGGGCUCCUUGCUCUCCACACCCCCACUCUGGACACCUGCCCCCAGUGUCUUAGCUUUCUCCCCAUGGCCCUGUGAGUCUCUCUUCCUGCUGAGCCAAGGGCCCUGCAGAGGCUCUUUCCCAUGUAUUGGUGGCACAUUCUGAUGGCUACUUCCAGCUGGAGGACACCUACGAGGACGGAAAGUUGAAGCAACAAAAGGAUUUUGACAUUUCAUUCUAACUGGGAGAGGCUGAACCAACAGAUAGGGGUGUGUGUGUGUGUGUGUGUGUGUGUGUGUGUGUGUGAAAGAGAGAGAGUGGGAAAGAGACAGAGACUGAGUCUGCCAUCCCCUAAGAUCUCUGAACGUGUGUACUCUAGCAAGUGUGACUGUCUCAAAGCCUAGUUGUAGCUUCCAUUGCCCAGCAGCCUUACAGAUGACAAGAGCAGGCAUGGUUUGAAGACAUGAAAAGUAGCCACGCACAGUGGCUCAUGCCUGUAAUC
rnacentral:lncRNA from 1 species